rnacentral:misc_RNA from 1 species
AAAAGCUCUCCCCACCUAAACAUUAUCAACGGAAAAGAAAAGGUAAAAUUGAAUUAAAAUAGAAGCCGUUGCGGGAGUUUUCUUGGGCUAUAAAAAGGAAGGUCCAUGGUUAGUUUGAUGAGUUCUAGUGAUGAGAACGAAGUCUCUGUCUCUUAGAUCUCUAAGUUCUCUUUUUCGAAGUUGCAAGUAACAGAGCAAAAACGAAAGACCCAAAGGGAAUCGAAUCGGAAGUGGAAUACAGAGAGCUUGGGUUUGGUCUUUCCCUUUCAACUCCCACUUUAAAAAGACGAUAGUGAAAGCGAGGAAUUUCAAAGCCAAAGAUAAUACAAACCAAAGCAAAUAUAGUAUUAUACGCAAACACUAUUGCAUAUUAAUAGCAGCAGCAGUAGUGGUCUCUCUCUUUCUAUAUGGUUUGUUUUUAAGUAGUAGUAUUACUUGUUAAGUAGCUGAAUAGCAGUGAAAAAAGGGUCUUUUUCUUUUCCUUCAAACAUCUAUUCAGUCCAUUGAAACGCCCAGAUUUUUAGCUUCUCUCUUUUCCUGCUUUUGAGGUCUCGCCGUCUUUGGGCUUAGGAACUGCCUUUUGUCUAUAGAGAUUGGUGGCGCAUUAAAGAGAAGCUUUUACUAAAGAGAUCCGUAGCUCAAAGAUUUCUUCUCUUCUUCUUCUUUUUAUUAUUAUUAUUUUUCAUUUUUUGUUCGCUGCUGUUUGAAGACAUUUAUGGCUAUAUCUCUGCAGAAUCUUGGAAUUGAGAAUUCUUAAACACACACUCUCUCUCUCUAUAUAUAUCGCCUCUGCUUUCCCUCCUAACUAUAUCUAAUUGAUAGCCAGCUUACCUGUUUUCCGUUCUGAAGAAAAGGAAAUAAAUUAAGUCAAGCAAAAGUCAGGCUUUGAAAACUUCGUCAUUUUGGGUCAUAGAGAAGGAUCUGCGAUCGGUUUCUUGAUCAAUCUUUUUACGCGAAAGAGACCUCUCAGAACGAGAUCUACCAGGAUUUAGUAGUUGCCUUUAGAGCAAAACGAAGACAAUGUUGCCUCAGAAGCAAGCAGAAGAAGCAAUAGUCUCCAACUUCAGCGAGACAGAGCAUGAGGGCAAAGAGGAAGAGAAAGAAGAAGAAAACUCCAUGUUUAGCGUUAAGAAUUUUCUCUGGCACGGUGGCUCUGCCUGGGAUGCUUGGUUCAGUUGUGCUUCCAAUCAAGUAGCGCAAGUACUAUUGACACUGCCUUACUCCUUCUCUCAACUGGGUAUGCUGUCAGGGAUUUUGUUUCAAAUAUUCUAUGGGCUUGUAGGAAGCUGGACUGCUUAUCUUAUCAGUGUGCUGUACAUAGAGUACAGAAGCCGAAAGGAGAAAGAGAACGUGAGCUUCAAGAACCAUGUUAUACAGUGGUUUGAAGUGCUUGAUGGGUUACUGGGUCCGUACUGGAAGGCAGUAGGACUUGCGUUCAAUUGUACUUUCCUUCUCUUUGGAUCUGUCAUUCAACUUAUUGCUUGUGCAAGUAACAUAUACUACAUCAACGACCAUUUGGACAAGAGGACAUGGACAUACAUUUUUGGAGCUUGCUGUGCUACUACAGUUUUCAUACCUUCCUUUCACAACUACCGGAUUUGGUCUUUUCUUGGCCUUGGCAUGACCACGUACACUGCCUGGUACCUCACCAUAGCAGCACUUCUUCAUGGCCAGGUAAUAAUCCACAAAAUUAACACUUACACGCUUCCCUCCAUGUUUAAUUCUGGUAUCUACUAGUCACACAUUCUGACGAUUUUCUGCCUGAAGGUUGAAGGAGUAACACACACGGGUCCAAAAAAACUGGUGCUUUACUUUACCGGAGCAACCAACAUUCUGUAUACCUUCGGUGGACACGCUGUUACAGUGUAAUCUUUUACUUUUUAACCACAAUAGUAUUACUUUUCGUCUGUAUCCUUUCAUUUGUUUCUACACGGCUUCUGUUUGCAGCUUUUGCUGGUCUCCUUGGGGUUCGAGACCCACAGACAAAAUCAUGCAGAUUAUAUUUUUUUGUUCGCCAUCCAUUUCUCUAGGUCUAGGAUAAUUGAACAGUGAAAAUGGUCCUUCCAGCUUACCUCCAAAACUAUAAUAUAGUCUUCUCUGUCUUUAACCAACAGCAUGAUUAUUGAUUCCUAAUCAUUGACUCAGUAUCAUUAUGAUGAUUCUCUAAUCUCUAAUGGUGUAAUUAACUUAAACUAGAGAGAAUCCAAUGACAUAAAGGUCAAUGGAGUCAUUUAAUCAAUGCAACUUUUACCCAUUCCUGUGAAAACAGUGAAUGAUGGGGUGUUAAUCUUUUUACAGGGAAAUCAUGCACGCUAUGUGGAAGCCUCAAAAGUUCAAGUACAUAUAUUUAUUAGCUACAGUCUACGUUUUUACAUUAACAAUUCCAUCUGCUACCGCCGUCUACUGGGCUUUCGGCGAUGAGCUACUUAACCACUCUAAUGCCUUCUCACUUCUCCCCAAAUCUGGAUUCCGCGAUGCUGCCGUUAUCUUAAUGCUUAUUCACCAGUUCAUAACAUUUGGAUUCGCAUGUACACCUCUGUACUUUGUGUGGGAGAAGGUGAUAGGAAUGCAUGACACCAAGAGCAUAUGCCUGAGGGCACUUGCGAGGUUGCCGGUGGUGAUACCCAUAUGGUUUUUGGCCAUCAUUUUCCCAUUUUUUGGUCCAAUUAACUCGGCAGUCGGUGCUCUUCUGGUCAGCUUCACCGUCUACAUCAUCCCGUCUUUAGCCCAUAUGCUUACCUACAGAAAAGCCUCUGCCAGACAGGUAAAAAGGAACACUUCCAUAGUCGACCCACUAGGCCACUAUCUCUUAUCCUUUUUACCUUUUUUUUUUUAGUAAAUUGGGUGGUGAAAAUAAUGGAAAAGGAAAAAGGUAGUGUGUGAAGUUGUAAUUAUCGAGAUUUGAUAGGGAUAUGUUGAUGAUAAUAGAGUGGAUACUCCGCGUUUGAUGGGGAUUCCCACAUUCCACAGUGGCAGUGUGUCCUAAGAGCCUGACUGAGGGAAGUAGCAGCUGUACCAGAUUGGGCAUUUAUGGCUUGGAUUUGGCAAUAUGAGGGUGUUGGCAUGUCGUUUUCGAUUAGUUAUACGCUACAGUCGAAUGAGCUGGAUAUUGCUAUUGCCCAUCUCUCCUGCUUCCUUUUCAAAAUCCUCCAAUUAGUCACCACAUAGAUUCUGUCAAGAAAUUCUCCAACCAAGCUCAUUUUCAAUUGGGUUAAUUUUUGUUCUCUCACUUUUUUCUUGCAGAACGCAGCAGAGAAACCUCCUUUCUUUUUACGAAGCUGGGCUGCCAUGUACAUCUUAAACACCUUCGUGGCAGUGUGGGUUUUGGUGGUUGGUUUUGGGUUCGGUGGAUGGGCUAGUAUGGCCAACUUUGUCAAGCAAGUAGACACAUUUGGACUGUUCGCCAAAUGCUACCAAUGCAAGCCUCCACUACCUCCACCAACUUCAAAUUCUACAACUACUGCUGCUACCCAUCACCGCUGAGACUAAGCUCUUCAACCUGAAAAUCAAAUUCUCUCUUCUUAUUUUGUAUCAUACAUGGGGAGAUUGCAGUAUCUUUCCUUUCCACUUCAUGUGUGCUGGAUUUUCCUUCUUUCUCUUUGCUUUUCCAUUUUUUUUUUUUUUCACUUUCCUUAAAUUAGUUGAUAAAAUAGUGUGUUGAAUUUGUAAUGAUUCCUCUGCUAUCAAAGCAUAGGCUAAUUAAAUCAGAAAUUAAUAUAAUAUAUAAAUAGUGUUCUUCCCCUUUCUUUUUUCACUUGGGAUAAUGUUAUAAAACAAUUUUUCUUCAAGUGGCACGUUCCCAAAUAAAUUUAAAGGGAAUGGGUGUGUCUCCCCUGCCCAAUAUUUCUUUUUUUUUUAAACAACGUAACAUGGGUUGGUCGUAAAAGGUCAUGUGUGGGAGAUGGUUUAGUGGCCCUUUUGACCAUAGAUUCUGUUUUCUCAUAGUGGGCCGUGGGCCCAUCUCUACAUUCACAUGGUUUGCACGUUGUCUCACCUGAUUGUCACGUGCCUAUCUUUACUCCUAGGUAUUUUCUCACAUGGGAACUCAAUAAUGUUCAUGAACAAACCUUGAUCAUAUUUAUAUGUUAUUCAAUCUUCUUA